rfam:Homo sapiens chromosome 3, GRCh38 reference primary assembly.
GCUGGGCAUGGUGGCGCAUGCCUGUAGUCCAAAUACUCAGUAAGCUGAGGCAGGAGUAUCACUUGAGCCCAGGAGUUCAAGAAUAGCCUGGGCAACAUAGUGAGAUCUUGUCUCUA